ACGCUGGCGGCGUGCCUAAUACAUGCAAGUAGAACGCUGAAGAGAGGAGCUUGCUCUUCUUGGAUGAGUUGCGAACGGGUGAGUAACGCGUAGGUAACCUGCCUUGUAGCGGGGGAUAACUAUUGGAAACGAUAGCUAAUACCGCAUAACAAUGGGUGACACAUGUCAUUUAUUUGAAAGGGGCAAUUGCUCCACUACAAGAUGGACCUGCGUUGUAUUAGCUAGUAGGUGAGGUAACGGCUCACCUAGGCGACAAUACAUAGCCGACCUGAGAGGGUGAUCGGCCACACUGGGACUGAAACACGGCCCACACUCCUACGGGAGGCAGCAGUAGGGAAUCUUCGGCAAUGGGGGCAACCCUGACCGAGCAACGCCGCGUGAGUGAAGAAGGUUUUCGGAUCGUAAAGCUCUGUUGUAAGUCAAGAACGAGUGUGAGAGUGGAGAGUUCACACUGUGACGGUAGCUUACCAAAAAGGGACGGCUAACUACGUGCCAGCAGCCGCGGUAAUACGUAGGUCCCGAGCGUUGUCCGGAUUUAUCGGGCGUAAAGCGAGCGCAGGCGGUUUGAUAAGUCUGAAGUUAAAGGCUGUGGCUCAACCAUAGUUCGCUUUGGAAACUGUCAAACUUGAGUGCAGAAGGGGAGAGUGGAAUUCCAUGUGUAGCGGUGAAAUGCGUAGAUAUAUGGAGGAACACCGGUGGCGAAAGCGGCUCUCUGGUCUGUAACUGACGCUGAGGCUCGAAAGCGUGGGGAGCGAACAGGAUUAGAUACCCUGGUAGUCCACGCCGUAAACGAUGAGUGCUAGGUGUUGGAUCCUUUCCGGGAUUCAGUGCCGCAGCUAACGCAUUAAGCACUCCGCCUGGGGAGUACGACCGCAAGGUUGAAACUCAAAGGAAUUGACCGGGGGCCCGCACAAGCGG
rnacentral:rRNA from 1 species